GAUGAACGCUAGCUACAGGCUUAACACAUGCAAGUCGAGGGACCGGCGCACGGGUGAGUAACACGUAUCCAACCUGCCCUUAACUCGGGGAUAGCCGUUCGCAGGAAAGAUUAAUACCUGAUAUAAAGGAUGGGGAUGCGUUGCAUUAGGUGGUGGGUGAGGGACCGGCUCACCAAGCCUUCGAUGGAUAGGGGUUCUGAGUGGAAGGUCCCCCACGUUGGAACUGCGACACCGUCCAAACUCCGACGGGAGUCAGCAGUUAGGAAUAUUGGUCAAUGGGCGCUAGCCUGACCCAGCCAAGUAGCGUGAAGAAUGAAGGCUUAUGGGUCGUAAACUUCUUUUAUAUAAGAAUAUGUAUUAUAUGAAUAAGGAUCGGCUAACUCCGUGCCAGCAGCCGCGGUAAUAC
rnacentral:rRNA from 1 species